AUUGAACGCUGGCGGCAGGCCUAACACAUGCAAGUCGAGCGAGCGGCGGACGGGUGAGUGAUGUCUGGGAAACUGCCUGAUGGAGGGGGAUAACAACUGGAAACGCUAGCUAAUACCGCAUACCAUCAGAUGUGCCCAGCUGGGAUUAGCUAUUAGGUGGGGUAACGGCUCACCUAGGCGACGAUCCCUAGCUGGGCUGAGAGGAUGACCAGCCACACUGGAACUGAGACACGGUCCAGACUCCUACGGGCGGCAGCAGUGGGGAAUAUUGCACAAUGGGGGAAAGCCUGAUGCAGCCAUGCCGCGUGUGUGAAGAAGGCCUUCGGGUUGUAAAGCACUUUCAGCGGGGAGGCGUUACCCGGAGAAGAAGCACCGGCUAACUCCGUGCCAGCAGCCGCGGUAAUAC
rnacentral:rRNA from 1 species